GCGCACCAGGCGAGAAACCUUUACAAUGCACGAAAGUGCGAUAAGGGGAUCCCAAGUGCCAAUACUCUGUAUUGGCUUUUGCUGAGAGUAAAAAUCUCGGCGAAUAAGUGAUGGGUAAGACUGGUGCCAGCCGCCGCGGUAACACCAGCGUCACGAGUGGCGCCCACUUUUAUUGGGUCUAAAAGCGUCCGUAGCCGGGUCUGUAAAGUCCUCUGUGAAAAUCGUUAGGCCUAACCUAACGGAUAGCAGAGGAGACUGCCGACCUAGAGACCGGGAGGAGCCAGAGGUAUUUCCAGGUAGCGGUAAAAAUAGCGAUAAAUACCUGGGAGG
rnacentral:rRNA from 1 species